CUAACCCAUCCUCCACCGCUGGCACCGCUACGGCCCCUACUGCUGUUGCAGCUCCUUCCUCUCUACCUCUUUCCUCUUCAUUUCCUCCAUCCUCAUCACUUUCGCUGUCUUCUGGCCCUCCGACCGUGGUAUCCAAGUGAGGCAAACUAGAUACAAUCUAUGUAAAGAUGACGGCUCCAAUUCAAGAUUAUAACAUUAUGAUCA
rnacentral:lncRNA from 1 species